GGAAUAUUGCACAAUGGGCGCAAGCCUGAUGCAGCGACGCCGCGUGGGCGAAGAAGGUUUUCGGAUCGUAAAGCCCUUUUCUGCGUGACGAUGAUGACGGUAGCGCAGGAAGAAGUGUCUGCUAACUACGUGCCAGCAGCCGCGGUAAAACGUAGGACGCGAACGUUAUCCGGAAUUACUGGGCGAAAAGGGCGCGCAGGCGGUUCGGUAAGUGAGGCAUGAAAGCUCCCUGGCUAAACCGGGAGAGGCUGUCUGAGACUGCCGGGCUAGAGUGAGGUAGAGGGGUGUAGAAUUCCGCGUGUAGUGGUGAAAUGCGUAGAGAUGCGGAGGAAUACCAGUGGCGAAGGCGGCACCCUGGACCUCAACUGACGCUGAGGCGCGAAAGCAUGGGUAGCGAAC
rnacentral:rRNA from 1 species